AUUGAACGCUGGCGGCAGGCCUAACACAUGCAAGUCGAACGAGUGGCGGACGGGUGCGUAAUGUCUGGGAAACUGCCCGAUGGAGGGGGAUAACUACUGGAAACGGCAGCUAAUACCGCAUACCAUCGGAUGUGCCCAGAUGGGCUUAGCUCGCAGGUGGGGUAAUGGCUCACCUAGGCGACGAUCCCUAGCUGGUCUGCGAGGCUGACCGGCCCCAGUGGAACUGAGACACGGUCCAGACUCCUACGGGAGGCAGCAGUGGGGAAUAUUGCACAAUGGGCGAAAGCCUGGUGCAGCCAUGCCGCGUGUAUGAAGAAGUCCUUCGGGUUGUAAAGUACUUUCAGCGAGGAGGCGUUACUCGCAGAAGAGGCACCGGCUAACUCCGUGCCAGCAGCCGCGGUAAUUC
rnacentral:rRNA from 1 species